rnacentral:rRNA from 1 species
UACGUAGGGUGCAAGCGUUGUCCGGAAUUAUUGGGCGUAAAGAGCUCGUAGGCGGCUUGUCGCGUCGGCUGUGAAAACCUGGGGCUCAACCCCGGGCCUGCAGCCGAUACGGGCAAGCUAGAAUUCGGUAGGGGAGACUGGAAUUCCUGGUGUAGCGGUGAAAAUGCGCAGAUAUCAGGAGGAAACACCGGUGGCGAAAGGCGGGUUCUCUGGGGCCCUUUACCCUGACGCUUGGAGGGAAGCGAAAAAGCCGUGGGGGG